rnacentral:lncRNA from 1 species
UAUACUAAUCUUCCAUAUAUAAUAUAAAAUAAAAAAUGUUAUAUCAAUUUAAUAAUAUAAAGACCUAAGCUUAAAGUAAAAGAAAGAUGAUUCAAUUAAAAUCAAAAAAUGCCACCAUUCCAACCUUUUGCUUUUGUAAUAUCCAUCUAAUUAGAUGAUCUAAAUUAAUGUCAUGUCAAUUUUUAAUAAAGUUGAUUCACUAUCAAUUCCAAAUAUAAUCUCCUAAUUUAAGCCAUGACCUUAAUAACCUUUAAAUUAUCACUUAUAUCUUCAAAGAAUUGUUUUUUAUAUUCAAAUAAUUAUUUGAAUAAUUAUAAAAACAUAAUAAUCUAAAUUUACACCUGAUUAUGAUGAAUGCAAUAAAUUAAAUAAUACAAAGCAAAGAUUCUAUAAUAUAAGAUAUAUGUUUUACAAACAGUACUAUAUAUAGAAAAUGUUUUAUAAACUAUGCAAUGUGCUGCAUAUAGAUUUUGUAUGAUAAGAUCUACAAAUUCUUUGAGGCAUAAAGAUGAAAUUAAAAUCCUCUAUGCCUAUGCACCUACCUAAAACGAACCUAUUUGACAACCUACUUGAAGCUCUCUUCAUGUACAUCUAUUUGCACUAUAUAAACUCAAAAUUUUAAAAAUUUAUUAAGCAAUUCUCACCACUCUAUAAGCCACAAACGUAAACAAAGUGAUAAGAGAUGAUUUACCUUCAAAGACGCACCUUGUACGGGAAUCAUGGUAGAGUGCUUUGACUACAAAACAAAGUAAGAUGUAAUUGCCACCUCCAUCGAUAUUAUUUUGCAGGUAGCAUCACAGUUGUCUAUCCAUCAAGAGCAAAAUUUAACGACCAACACUUUUAGCGCUCAUCCAUAAUUAACACGUUGUUCAGUGCUCUCUGCAACAUAUAACCACAAGCCUUGGCAUAGAAAUUGAGGCUUACGCGCCACAACAGCUCCAACUUCUAGAAUAUUGCCUCAAAUCCCACCAAUUGCUUCACAUCCAAGAAAUAAGCACACCUCAAGCAAACAGUAGCAGGAAAUGAAAGAACCACAAACUGUCUUAACCAAGCCUAGAGUGCAAACAUUUACAUGAGAUGACAAUUAAAAAAUACAAACCCACUGCAAAAAUUACAUCCUCUAAUUGAUGCACUAAUUGUAGACAUCUUACAUUGCUCUCCAAAUUCUUUGACAUUUCUCCAAACACGCAUUUCUCCACACUCUCUCAUGAAAAACAUGAAAGAAAGACAAUCAUCCCGUGCCCUCUCUGGUUGCCAAGUC